rnacentral:lncRNA from 1 species
UAGAGCCUACAUGAAGCCCUCAUGAAUGAUGGACCUUGGCCUUAGCCUUGGUCCCCUGGGCCUUGGGCACACCACCUGGAUCACAACACUAACUUCUAUAUAAAGAAUUUAAUCUUUGUUGGAAGUUAUGGGACGUCGCAUGAGAUGUGAUGUGCCAAACAUUAUUUUUUCUCUUCCUAGCCUCUUAAUUAUUACAUGCCUUAAUUUAUGGGACC